rnacentral:miRNA from 1 species
GAUUUGAUCAGUCAGGCUGCUGGCUAUAUUCCAGGUCUAUCUGGUAUAGCCAAGCCUGACUGU